UCCUUUUGCCUCUCUGCCUUCUCUGCUCCGCGCGCCUUCUCUCUCCUCUUCAUUCAAAACCAAGCAGAGUGGGCUGCUCUGCUCUCUGCUUACCCUUAACUCUGCUUCCUUUCUUUUCUUUGGGAGACACGCAGCCCCACCCCCUUGCCUUGCCGGCUUGCUUUGCUCCCUUCUUCCUCGCUCCCUCCCUCCCCUCAAAGAGUACCACCGGCUACAACACUCCAACUCCCAACCAAGCGAGCGGUGCAAGAAGAGCAAUGGACGCGGAUGGGGCCGACCAAGCUCCGCCCAGGCCUCCAUGGCCUCCUCACCGGCACCAGGUGGACGCGGAGGAGAAGGUAGAGGGCAGGCCUGGCGCAGUGGUGAAGUCCUCCCCACUUGUGCCAAGAGGUCCUGGGUUCGAACCAGCCUCUCUGCAUUGCACUUUGCAGGGGUAAGACUAGGUUCCUAUAAUUCCUCCCCAGACCCCACCUUGUGUGGGAGCUUCUAUGCACUGGGUCUGUCCUGUCCUGGUCUGCAGGUGCCAGGCCCGCGUUGAUCACUCGGAGCAGCCGGGCGUCCACCGGUGGUGACGCCUGCUCGAUCAAGCGAGGGAGGGAGGAGAAGUCGGGAAUGAAGCCGUAUUGGUCCGGGAGCGUAUACAUAGUACUCAUAUUCUUUUGCGUAACGUUAGACAAUUACCAGAUGGUAUAAGUUUCAGUUUUCAGGUAGAGGUGUAAUCAGUAACUGACCAGCUAAGCCUUGCCUAUUCUUUGAAUUUCUAUCUGCUCUACUA